ensembl:lncRNA
CAACAGGGGACCAGUCAAAUAGGUGCACGUCUGCCACAGACCACUACACAGCUUUGAAAAUAUCAAGGCAGCUCGUUAUGUACUGGUAUGGAAUUCUCUCCAGGACAUAUUAUUAAACAAAAGAAGCAAGGAGCAUAACGAUGAAACUCAGUGAAUCUUCAUUGACACGAGCAUCAUCAUCCUCAUCCCCAUCUUCCAGAUGAGAAGACUGAGGCACAGCGCAGGUAAUUAAUUUACCCAAGGUCACAGAGCCUGGAUUCAGAGACAGGCAGUCUGACCCAGCGCCCCAACCCUGAACCUUUCCUUCCGUGAAGGAGUUUUCCGGAGGUCACUUACGUUGGCAUCUGGCGGUCUGACCGUGGGCAUAUUGACCCCAUGCUUCGAGUUACAGAGCCUCAGUUUCCCCACCUGUAAAGCGAGGAUCAUCCUAGCAGUACCCUCCUUUCAGGGCUGUUUUGAGGCUCACUAAUGAGGCGUUGAAAGCCCUGUUGACUCCCGUGAAGACCAUCACUGUUAAUCUGAUUAUCACGCCCGUCAUCACCCAGGACUAUUGAACAAGGUUCAGAAAACCCCAGUCCUGAGCAAGAAGGAGUCAAAUCUCUCUUUUUAGCAGUUUGCGCAUAUCGCUCAUCUGCAACAUGUAACCUAAAUAUCUUGCCCUUUUCCUGUUUCCGUCAACCCCUGUUAGAAGUCAGACAGGGCUGGUAUAGAAAACGUGCAGAUCUUGCUCACGAUUAAAACCACUCUUUCUUUUAAAGACACCAAGAAUCUUGAUUUCUGCUGAGAGAGUCUCACAAAAGAGAAACCCACACGGGGCCCUACCUCCAGCCUGGUGGCAGAGGCACAGAUGAAAUUUGUCUUUCCAGGUCACUUCCAUUUCUGCGUCCCUGGAAGGUUAAUUCAAUUCAACAGUUAUUUAGUAAGCAUUUACGCUAUUCGAGGCCCCUGCUGGGGACUGGGAAGAUGGCACUGAACAAGACAGACAAAAAUCCCCAUCUCAUGGAGCUGACAUUCUAGAGGAGGAAACAGACAAUGAACAAGUGAAGAGAUCAUCUCAUGCCAAAUGUCAAGAAACGCCAUGAAGAAAAAUAAAACAGAUUUCAGGUACAACACAACGAUUCGAUAUUUGUAAAUCUUGAGAAACGAUCGCCACGGAGACACCCCCUGGAAGGCCCUCCCGCGGGCCUGUUCCGGAGCCACCCUUCAGGAGGACCUUCCAGACAGAAACCAAGAUGCCCGCUUCACCCCCGUUAGGACGGCUGCUGUCAGAAAACCAGAAAAUAACAAGUAUUGGGGAGGAUGUGGAGAAACUGGGACCUCUGUGCUCUGUUGCUGGGAAUGUAAUGGUGCAGCCACUGGAAAACAGUAUGACAUUUCCCCUAAAAAUUAAAAAUGGAAUUACCGUAUAAUCCAGCAAUUCCGCUGUGGGUAUACACCCCAAAGAAGUGAAAGCAGGGGCUCAGCCAGUUAUUUAUACACCUUUGUUCACAGCAGCGCUGUUCACAACGGCCAAAAGGUAGAAGCAACCCAGGUGCCCAUCGACUGAUGAGUGGAUAAAUACAACGUGGUAUAAGCAUACGACAGAAUAUCAUUCAGCCUUAAAAAGGAAGGAAAUUCUGACACAAGCUACAAUGUGAAUGAACCUUGAGGACAUUAUGCUGAGUGAAACAAGCCAGUCUCAAAAGGAUCAAUACUGUAUGAUUCCACUUAUGUGAGGCCCCUCGAGCAGCCAAAUGCACAGAGACAGAAAGUUGAAGGGUGGCUGCCAGCGGCUGGGGAGAGAGGGGAGUGGGAGUUAUUAUUUCAUGGGCACGGAGUUCCAGUUUUGCCAGCUGAAAAGAGUUCUGGAGACGGAUGGUGGGGAUGGUUGCACAGCAAAAUGAAUGUAUUUAAUAGCACCGAACUGUGCACUUAACAAUGGUUAAGAUAUUAGGUGUAUUUUGCCACGAUUAAAAAUUGAAAACAAAAAAAGGAAAAGAUGCCCCCGCCUCUUCUCUGGGGCCCAGAAAGGAGGUCUCAUUUAAUGACAGGAAGGACCCCCAGCAGUCCUGGGGCCCCCUCCAAUUCCCUCUGGACAUUAACAGUCUGAGGCAGGCCUCUGUGACCCUAAGAGAAGCCAUCUGAGACUUUAGUGUUGCCCUUUGGCCCCAGAACAGCAUCUCAAUGAAAGGACGUUGAGAGAAAUAGAGUUGGAGUUCUCAUAUUGUCUUUGGGUGACCUUGGACAAUUCACUGUAUCUCCUUGGGCCUCAGUUUCCUCAUCUUACCAAGUGAGGGGGUUGGACUUCAGAAGUUGCCCAGGAAUCCUGUCUGGCUCCCAGAAGUGUCUUGUCUGUCUGUAAUAAGAUUUAAAAUUGGGACGGUCAGCCACCCAGGGCUCUGUUCCUCCGUGGUCACCACCGUUGAAGGUGGCCCCCCUGGAUGGAGCCAGUGCUGCCCAGUUCAGGCAGUGCCCCCCAUGGGCCUGACCCUCCCUGCCAGGGCCCCGGAGGUGCUUGAGUUUGCAAAGCCUGGACAAGAGGACACCAAGGAGCCUCUGACUUCAGUGAUGGCUUCGUUAGGCUUUCCGAG